rfam:Papilio xuthus contig11024, whole genome shotgun sequence.
GCCAACAUCCAUACCACGUUGAACACACCGGUUCUCGUCCGAUCACCGAAGUUAAGCAACGUCGGGCGCGGUCAGUACUUGGAUGGGUGACCGCCUGGGAACACCGCGUGAUGUUGGCU